rnacentral:rRNA from 1 species
AUUGAACGCUGGCGGCAGGCCUAACACAUGCAAGUCGUACGAGUGGCGGACGGGUGAGUAAUGUCUGGGAAACUGCCUGAUGGAGGGGGAUAACUACUGGAAACGGUAGCUAAUACCGCAUCCCAUCGGAUGUGCCCAGAUGGGAUUAGCUAGUAGGUGGGGUAAAGGCUCACCUGGGCGACGCUCCCUAGCUGGUCUGAGAGGAGUACCAGCCACACUGGAACUGUGACACGGUCCAGAAUCCUACGGGAGGCAGCAGUGGGGAAUAUUGCACAAUGGGCGCAAGCAUGAUGCAGCCAUGCCGCGUGUAUGAAGAAGGCCUUCGGGUUGUAAAGUACUUUCAGCGGGGAGGCGUUACCCGCAGAAGAAGCACCGGCUAACUCCGUGCCAGCCGCCGCGGUAAUUC